rnacentral:tRNA from 1 species
GGCCCCAUCGUCUAGCCCGGUCUAGGACGCGUGGUUCUCAGCCACUAAACAGGGGUUCAAAUCCCCUUGGGGCUA